rnacentral:lncRNA from 1 species
GAUGGCAUGCCGCUAUAAAUUCAUUGUUCCACCUCCUCGCAUCUUCACAGCGCUCGCGCUGCUCUCGGCGCUCGCAGCGGCAGACUGGGGAUGACGGCGGGCAGGAAGACACUGCAUCCGAAGGGACCCAGACACGCCGCUUCGCUGGCUUGCCGCAGGCCGCCCCUGGCAUUUUUGUUUUAGUUUUUCUGCCUUUUUUUCCUCUUCUUCCCUUCCGGCCGGUUCCAGUAGAGUCAAGGAGACCCCUAAAUAAGAAAGGAAGCCGGUUCCGGACCUGGGAACCCCGCGGCUGGCGGGUCGGGAGCAGCAAGGAGCCUGGAGGAAAGCAUGCACCAGUCGCCCGCAUGGUGCGCGGCACCUUCCUGACUUUUCUUGGUGCCCCGAUCCUGGUCGUGUUUGGGUUUUCCCCCCUUUUCUAGUACUUGCUGAAUAUCCGCAACCCGGCUUUUUUUUUUUUUUUUUCCCCCUUUUCUUUCCUCUUCUUUCCGGAGCCCGAAUCCAAACAUUUUCCAAAGCAACAAAGAAAAGUUCGCACGCUGGCAUCGUGGCCGGGACAGGCUGGCGCUGCUACCGGGUUCCCCCUCCCUCCGACACUAGACUCAACCUUGCAAGCAAGUGUAUGUGUAUCCCCACCUCCCGCCCCGGUAACUUCCUGAGCUAUUAACAAAUAACCCACCAAGUGUCCCCUGGCGCGCAGCCCCUCCCCGCGGGCAGCGCACUAUGCUGCUCGGGUGGGCGUCCCUGAUGCUGUGCGCGCUCCGCCUGCCCCCGGUGGCCGCCGGCCCCGCCGCGGCACCUGCCCAGGAUAAAGCUGGGCAGCCUCGGGCUGCUGCUGUGGCUGCGGCCGCCCAGCCCCGCGGGUGGCGGGGGGAGGAGGCGCAGGAGCCGGCCGAGCCUCCGGGCCACCCGCACCCCCUGGCGCCGCAGCGCGGGAGCCGCGGGCUCGUGCAGAACAUCGACCAGCUCUACUCCGGCGGCGGCAAGGUGGGCUACCUCGUCUACGCGGGAGGUCGGCGGUUCCUCUUGGACUUAGAGAGGGACGAUUCGGUGGGCGCCGCUGGCCUGGUGCCCGCAGGAGGCGGACCGAACGCGACCCGGCGCCACCGGGGCCACUGCUUCUAUCGGGGCACGGUGGACGGCAGCUCGCGCUCGCUGGCGGUCUUUGACCUCUGCGGCGGCCUCGACGGCUUCUUCGCGGUCAAGCGCGCGCGCUAUACCCUGCAGCCGCUGCUGCGCGGUCCCUGGGCAGAGGCGGAGGACGAUGCGCGCGUCUACGGGGACGGGUCCCCGCGGAUCCUGCACGUCUAUACCCGCGAGGGUUUCAGCUUUGAGGCUCUGCCUCCUCGCACCAGCUGCGAGACCCACGCGUCCCCGCCAGGCGCCCGCGAGCGCCCCCCGGCGCCCCGCCGCCAGGACGGACGCUGGGCUCUGGCCCCGCAGCAGCUCCCGGGCCAGUCGGCUCCCUCGUCCGACGGGAGUCAGGGACCACGGACGUGGUGGCGGCGGCGGCGCCGCUCCAUCUCCCGGGCCCGCCAGGUGGAGUUGCUCCUGGUGGCCGACGCAUCCAUGGCGCGGAUGUACGGCCGGGGCCUCCAGCAUUACCUACUGACCCUGGCCUCCAUCGCGAACAAGCUGUACAGCCACGCCAGCAUCGAGAACCACAUUCGCCUGGUCGUGGUGAAGGUGGUGGUGCUGGGCGACAAGGACAAGAGCCUGGAGGUGAGCAAGAACGCGGCCACCACGCUCAAGAACUUCUGCAAGUGGCAGCACCAGCACAACCAGCUAGGGGAUGAUCACGAGGAGCACUAUGACGCGGCCAUCCUGUUUACUCGGGAGGAUUUAUGUGGGCAUCAUUCAUGCGACACCCUGGGAAUGGCAGACGUUGGGACCAUAUGCUCUCCUGAGCGCAGCUGUGCGGUGAUUGAAGACGAUGGCCUCCAUGCAGCCUUCACCGUGGCUCACGAAAUUGGACAUCUGCUUGGCCUCUCCCAUGACGAUUCCAAAUUCUGUGAAGAAAAUUUCGGCUCCACAGAAGAUAAGCGCUUAAUGUCUUCCAUCCUAACCAGCAUUGAUGCAUCCAAACCCUGGUCCAAAUGCACCUCAGCCACCAUCACAGAAUUUCUGGAUGAUGGCCACGGUAACUGUUUGCUGGACCUACCACGCAAACAGAUUCCAGGGCCUGAGGAGCUCCCGGGCCAGACCUACGAUGCCAGCCAGCAGUGCAACCUGACCUUCGGACCAGAGUACUCGGUGUGUCCGGGCAUGGACGUGUGUGCCCGCCUCUGGUGUGCCGUGGUGCGCCAGGGCCAAAUGGUGUGUCUGACCAAGAAGCUGCCGGCCGUGGAAGGAACGCCAUGUGGGAAAGGGAGGAUCUGCCUGCAGGGCAAGUGUGUGGACAAAACCAAGAAAAAAUAUUACUCGACAUCAAGCCAUGGCAACUGGGGGUCCUGGGGGUCCUGGGGCCAGUGUUCUCGCUCUUGUGGGGGCGGAGUGCAGUUUGCCUACCGCCACUGCAAUAACCCGGCGCCCAGGAACCACGGCCGCUACUGCACGGGAAAGAGGGCUGUCUACCGCUCGUGCAGCGUCACGCCCUGCCCAGCUAACGAUAAAUCUUUUCGUCAUGAGCAGUGUGAGGCCAAAAAUGGAUAUCAGUCUGAUGCAAAAGGAGUCAAAACGUUUGUGGAAUGGGUUCCCAAAUAUGCCGGUGUCUUGCCCGGAGACGUGUGCAAACUGACCUGCAGAGCUAAGGGCACUGGCUACUACGUGGUGUUUUCUCCAAAGGUGACCGAUGGAACAGAAUGCAGGCCAUACAGCAAUUCCGUGUGUGUCCGGGGGAAGUGUGUGCGGACAGGCUGUGAUGGCAUCAUUGGCUCGAAGCUGCAGUAUGACAAGUGUGGCGUCUGUGGAGGAGACAACUCCAGUUGCACAAAGGUGGUUGGAACCUUCAAUAAAAAAAGUAAGGGUUACACUGACGUCGUGAGGAUCCCCGAAGGGGCGACUCACAUAAAAGUCCGCCAGUUCAAGGCUAAAGACCAGACCAGAUUCACUGCCUACUUAGCCCUGAAGAAGAAAAACGGUGAGUACCUGAUCAAUGGCAAGUACAUGAUCUCCACUUCGGAAACCAUCAUCGACAUCAACGGGACCGUUAUGAACUACAGCGGUUGGAGCCAUAGGGACGACUUCUUGCACGGGAUGGGCUACUCGGCCACCAAGGAAAUUCUCAUUGUGCAGAUUCUUGCCACAGACCCCACGAAAGCCCUUGAUGUCCGCUACAGCUUCUUCGUUCCCAAGAAGUCCGCUCCAAAAGCAAACUCUGUCACCAGCCAGGGCAGCAAUAAAGUGGGCUCGCCCACCCCGCAGCUGCAGUGGGUGACAGGCCCCUGGCUUGCCUGUUCACGAACCUGUGACACGGGCUGGCACACCAGGACGGUGCAGUGCCAGGACGGGAAUCGGAAGCUGGCGAAGGGAUGUCUCCUCUCGCAGAGGCCUUCCGCCUUUAAGCAGUGUUUGCUGAAGAAGUGUUAG